rnacentral:lncRNA from 1 species
CCUAAGAGUCCUAGUCCGUGGGCUCUCUCACUCCAUAGGGAGGCCACGUGUAAUGAUGAAAAGAAAACUGGACAAGAAAACUGAAAUUCAUAUUCCCGAUACACAAUACCCUGUGAUUCCAUUUUCUGGAGAUGUUUGAGGUGGGGAUGGGGCCAACAGAGGCAGGGACAAGACGGGCUCCUUCACCCAGUGGAGGUGGUUCCUUCCUUCGCUCAGGCCUCGCUGACAGGUCUCUGAUUCUGUAGCCUGAUUUCAGGAACUUAUUCUUGGCUUUUGCUUUUCUCAGGGUAAUGAGCUUUCAGCCUAGCACUUGCUAACACUAACAAAUGAGGCCAAUUGCAGCUCGCUGUGGAUCACCUUUCAAUAGUGGGUUGACAAGGAGAACAAUGCAUUUGUUUGCGGCUGUCGAGUCUUCAGGGAGGAUCUGUCAUCUCCGAGGUGGCCACUGACAGAUGAGAUACCUCAUCUGAAGAAAGAGAACAAGAGCUGUGGGCUGGAAAGACGGAAGCUCCAAUGUUUCCCUGGCCACCUCUGGUCCACUGUAGGGGAGGCUUUGCACAAGCCCCACCUGGAACCGGCAGAGCCUGGAUGGACACAGGUCUUGCUGUGAACUGCACUGGGCUUCAGGAAGAGGCCAUGCUGGGCAGAAACUCGAUGCUAAUUAAUGAGAUGCCUGGGCUCUGUAAUCAGAAGAUGAAGGGGAGCCAGUGAUCUCAGUAACACUAGGCAGUUGCUUGUGCAAAUGCCCAUUUUUCCAUACAGAGGACAGGGAGGUGCAAUAAAGGGCUCCUCUUGGUCCUGGGCUGACCCACCAGCAUGCUGAUGUCCUCUGGCCAGCUUGCCUGGAAGUAGCCUUCCCUGAUGACACUGCCUCUGUUCUCCAAAGCAAUACAUACAACUUUUUUAUUACUGUGACCAAAUGGAUUACUCCUUUCUGCACAAGAAUGUAUGUCAUUGUCAACAUCAAAAACUUCCCUGCUUUACCCUGACAGCACAUGCCUUAUUGAUCAGGUGCCUCUGAACAACUCACUUACACAAAGCACUUAAACCUGUAUGACUUCAAAAAGUAAGAAUAAUCAUCAGGUGAAAGCAGAUUUUAAUCGUGACUCUAGAUAGCAUUGUGCUGAUUGGACUCUCAUCACCCGACUCUGAGUCAACUGAUGUCCUUGCUUGGAGGUUCAAGCACCAAGUGCAGGCAUGAAGCUGCCUGACAUCUAAGGAUCUCUGAAGAGAACUGGGACCUGAAACCCAUCUGAAAUGUAUCUGCAGACAGGUCAAGUUCAUCGAGAGUCACCUCCUGCCUGACACUCCAGUCAUUAAUUCCAGUGUGAAGAACAUGAUGAAGGUCCGUCCUAAGGAUGUCUUGGCUACCACAUCUCCAAAUCCAACGGUUGACGUUGUUGCCAUGACCAGAUCUCCAGAUCAGCCUGAAGAUCAACAGGAUGAUGAGUCCACUGAAGAAGGUCACAAA